rnacentral:rRNA from 1 species
AUGCAGAGGCGGAGGCCUGGAUUCCACCAUGUGGAAGAGACAGAGAACAAUGUAGUGCGGAGCCUGUUUUGGACAGACUCCUUGUGUAAGAUGAAUUAUGAUCUAUAUGAAGAUUUCGUGUCUUUUGACACGACAUUCUCUACGAAUAUAUAUGGCUUGCCAUUUGCACCAAUUAUAGGUGUCGACAACCAUGGGUCGACCGUCCUGUUUGGACUAGGCCUUUUGAAAGAUGAGAAAAUAGGGUCAUUCAAGUGGCUCCUAAGCACGUUUGUCGAGGCAAUGGGGGGUAAAGAGCCGAAAUACAUAAUAACAGACCAGGACCAGGCGAUGAAGACUGCAAUAAAGGUAGCUCUUCCGAGAACGAGGCACAGGUUCUGCUGGUGGCAUAUUAGGAAGAACCUGAAGGAA